CGCGCGCAGCUCACACGCGCCAGCCCCGGCCGCUCCCACCGCCCGCGACUCUCGGUUAGCGCGUGGCGCCGGGUUCCGUGGACACCAGUGAACUGAGGUGCCUGCGACCUUGAUUAGUGACAUGUGCGCUCCGGGAGUGUCGGGACUCAGAAACUUGCGAGAUGCUCUUACGCUGGGCCUGUAAUCAAUAAACACAAAAUCUGAAUUGCAGAUUACUCGAGCUCCCUCUCCCGGGUCAAGAAUCUCGUUUCUUCUUAGCCGUUAAGUUGAACGGUCCAGAUCAAGAAGCAAAACGAGGACGAUGAUGGACUUUAUAAAAAUCCUCAUGAUUGCACUGAUUUUACGGAGCUGGUCGAGCAGCCCUCCAACUCUGAGGUUUCAUAAGUUUGGUUUCUCAGUAGAGUGUAGUAGGCUGCAUCAUUUGAAAACACUUACUCCACCUUCUUCGUAAUGGGAAGAAAAUCCUCCCACGCUCAGUGAUGCUGAACUGGAUGAAAGGGAUGUGGGAAGUAACUCUGCUGCUUCCAGGCAAAGACCUUACUUGUGAUUGAACACCUCCCGUCCUUCCUAUGCCACACAGGACGCUGGCCCCUCAGCUGGGGUCCCUGAUGUGGGCAUGUGUAGCAGAGGCAAGGUGCUCACCGCCAGGGCACUCGGAACACAACGUGGGCAAGCAAUUUGUUUGUUGUUGCCAGCUACUGGAGAUUGGGGGCAGCUUUCUGUGCAGCCGGUGGAUGAAUAUAAAAACUGAUAUGAGGAGUGGGGUGCUGCUGUAUGAAAAUAAAAAUUGGUGGCAGUUC